rnacentral:rRNA from 1 species
UACGGGGGGGGCAAGCGUUGUUCGGAAUUACUGGGCGUAAAGGGCUCGUAGGCGGCCAACUAAGUCAGACGUGAAAUCCCUCGGCUUAACCGGGGAACUGCGUCUGAUACUGGUUGGCUUGAAUCCGGGAGAGGGAUGUGGAAUUCCAGGUGUAGCGGUGAAAUGCGUAGAGAUCGUAAGGAAGACCAGUGGCGAAGGCGGGUCUCUGGACAGUUCCUGACACUGAGGCACGAAGGCCAGGGGAGCAAACGGG